AUUGAACGCUGGCGGCAUGCCUUACACAUGCAAGUCGAACGGCAGCGGGGACUUCGGUCCGCCGGCGAGUGGCGAACGGGUGAGUAAAGUAUCGGAACGUACCUUUCAGUGGGGGAUAACGUAGCGAAAGUUACGCUAAUACCGCAUAUUCUGUGAGCAGGAAAGCAGGGGAUCGCAAGACCUUGCGCUGAUUGAGCGGCCGAUAUCAGAUUAGCUAGUUGGUGGGGUAAAGGCCUACCAAGGCGACGAUCUGUAGCGGGUCUGAGAGGAUGAUCCGCCACACUGGAACUGAGACACGGUCCAGACUCCUACGGGAGGCAGCAGUGGGGAAUUUUGGACAAUGGGGGCAACCCUGAUCCAGCCAUGCCGCGUGAGUGAAGAAGGCCUUCGGGUUGUAAAGCUCUUUCGGCCGGGAAGAAAUCGCACAGGCUAAUACCCUGUGUGGAUGACGGUACCGGAAUAAGAAGCACCGGCUAACUACGUG
rnacentral:rRNA from 1 species